AUAAUCCAUGGAAACGUGGACUAAUACCGCAUAUUGUAGUUAAGUUGCAUGACUUGAUUAUGAAAGAUUUAUCGCUUAUGGAUGGACUCGCGUCAGAUUAGAUAGUUGGUGAGGUAACGGCUCACCAAGUCAACGAUCUGUAGCCGAACUGAGAGGUUGAUCGGCCGCAUUGGGACUGAGACACGGCCCAGACUCCUACGGGAGGCAGCAGUGGGGAAUAUUGCGCAAUGGGGGCAACCCUGACGCGGCAACGCCGCGUGCAGGAAGAAGGUCUUCGGAUUGUAAACUGUUGUCGCAAGGGAAGAAGACAGUGACGGUACCUUGUGAGAAAGUCACGGCUAACUACGUGCCAGCAGCCGCGGUAAUACGUAGGUGACAAGCGUUGUCCGGAUUUACUGGGUGUAAAGGGCGCGUAGGCGGACUGUCAAGUCAGUCGUGAAAUACCGGGGCUUAACCCCGGGGCUGCGAUUGAAACUGACAGCCUUGAGUAUCGGAGAGGAAAGCGGAAUUCCUAGUGUAGCGGUGAAAUGCGUAGAUAUUAGGAGGGACACCAGUGGCGAAGGCGGCUUUCUGGACGACAACUGACGCUGAGGCGCGAAAGUGUGGGGAGCAAACAGGAUUAGAUACCCUGGUAGUCCACACCGUAAAC
rnacentral:rRNA from 1 species